rnacentral:rRNA from 1 species
CCCGCUCAGAAACUACAAAGGAAUUGACGGGGCCCGCACAAGCGGUGGAGCAUGUGGUUUAAUUCGAUGAUACGCGAGGAACCUUACCUGGGCUCAAAUGUAUGUUGACGUAUUCUGAAAGGGAUACUUCUUCGGACAAUAUACAAGGUGCUGCAUGGUUGUCGUCAGCUCGUGCCGUGAGGUGUCGGGUUAAGUCCCAUAACGAGCGCAACCCCUAUCAUUAGUUGCCAUCAGGUCAAGCUGGGGACUCUAAUGAAACUGCCUACGCAAGUAGUGAGGAAGGUGGGGAUGACGUCAAAUCAGCACGGCCCUUACGUCCAAGGGCUACACACGUGCUACAAUGGCCGGUACAAAGGGCAGCUACCUGGUGACAGGAUGCUAAUCUCAAAAGCCGGUCUCAGUUCGGAUCGGAGUCUGCAACUCGACUCCAUGAAGUUGGAAUCGCUAGUAAUCGUGGAUCAGCAUGCCACGGUGAAUACGUUCCCGGGCCUU